rnacentral:piRNA from 1 species
UAAAAGGGUGACCGCAAAUGGCCUGUAA